CAUAGCGACUAUCGUGGCAUAUCAAUAAGCGGAGGAAAAGAAACUAACAAGGAUUCCCCUAGUAACGGCGAGUGAAGCGGGAAGAGCUCAAAUUUGAAAUCUUCAAGGGUUUCCCUUGACGAAUUGUAGUUUAAAGAAGUGUUUUCUGUUAGAGAGGUGGUAAAAGUUCUUUGGAAUAGGACAUCAUAGAGGGUGAGAAUCCCGUAUUUGACCAUUAUUUCCAGCUGUGUGAUACACUUUCAAAGAGUCGGAUUGUUUGGGAAUGCAGUCCAAAAUGGGUGGUAAAUUUCAUCUAAAGCUAAAUAUUGGCGAGAGACCGAUAGCGAACAAGUACCGUGAGGGAAAGAUGAAAAGAACUUUGAAAAGAGAGUUAAACAGUACGUGAAAUUGUCAAAAGGGAAGCGUUUGACACCAGUGUUGUUUUCUCGAAAAUCAAUUAAAAAGGAUGGGAUUUUGUGUUGUAUUGACCUUAUCAAGCUUUCUUCACUCUUUUCCUAUCUUUUUUAAUGCACUUUUCGUUUAACAAGUCAACAUCAGUUUCUUUUGUUGUAAAAGGGUCAUUGGAAGGUGGCUUUCUUUUCGGAGAAAGUGUUUAUAGCCUUUGAUCUCUGCAACCGGAGAGACUGAGGUCUGCAGCGUAGACUCUUCGGGGUUAGAUACAUUUGUGCUAAGCUAUAGCUUUUUAUAGACAACUUGUUGACUAUAUUUAGUCUUGUGGCUUACUCGCUUAUGCUAUUUUACCUACGCUUAGGAUGUUGAUAUGCAUGACUGAUAU
rnacentral:rRNA from 1 species